rnacentral:misc_RNA from 1 species
AAGAAAUCGAAAGAAAGUCUGUCUCCAGUAGCCACAUUUUUUAGAUUUUCUUUCUUUCGAAAUCUUUCAUCGGAGCUUCUGGAAUUUAUAGUAGUUUCAUCGUAUAUUGAUUCCAAAAAGAAUCAUUAGUUCCUUUUGAUCUUGGUUUCUCGCUUAUUUACAAUUCUCCGAAGUUCUCGGAUUCUCGUUGUGGUCGUGGGAAGCUUUUUCCCUACUCG